rnacentral:rRNA from 1 species
UACGGAGGGUGCGAACGUUAAUCGGAAUUACUGGCGUAAAGCGCGCGUAGGCGGUUCGGUAAGUGGGAUGUGAAAGCCCUGGGCUCAACCUGGGAACUGCAUUCCAAACUGCCGAGCUAGAGUGUGGUAGAGGGAGGUAGAAUUUCCUGUGUAGCGGUGAAAUGCGUAGAUAUAGGAAGGAAUACCAGUGGCGAAGGCGGCCUCCUGGAUCAACACUGACGCUGAGGUGCGAAAGCGUGGGGAGCAAACAGG